UCCGUGGGGUGCAAGCGUUGUUCGGAAUUACUGGGCGUAAAGGGUUCGUAGGUGGCCAACUAAGUCAGACGUGAAAUCCCUCAGCUUAACUGGGGAACUGCGUCUGAUACUGGUCUGGCUUGAGUGCAGGAGAGGAACGCGGAAUUCCAGGUGUAGCGGUGAAAUGCGUAGAUAUCUGGAGGAACACCGGUGGCGAAGGCGGCGUUCUGGACUGCAACUGACACUGAGGAACGAAAGCCAGGGGAGCAAACGGG
rnacentral:rRNA from 1 species